rnacentral:lncRNA from 1 species
GUCAUCUCUGUGUCCACACAUCCUGCCAUAUCUGAUUAAAACAAAUCCCGGCUACCUAAUUAAAACAGUAUGUCAUUGUGUGUCCCAUUUGUGGGCAUGCCCAUAACAACGACACACAGAGUCACUGGUCCCCUCAUGUGUGUUUAGACAACAUGUCACUUUGCAUCACAAAAACACCCAGUGAUGUCAGAGGCGCCGUGCAUCAUAAUGACGCUCCUGGUAUCCAAGAGACCUCAAUUCGCUGCUCAGUCACUGUCCCUGCGGUGAGAACUGGUGGCUGGAUCGGAGCCUCCAGCUGAAGGGAACCUGAUUACAUCUAGAUUGACCCCUAUUGUGUGACAGCUAAUGACCCAGUUAACCUCUGAAAUUACUUGCUCACCAGCCAGGGACCGACAUCUGGCAGAAGCCCAGGUCUGCUCCUCCGGCAGACGGGAGCCAGACAGCCAUACUCGGGCAAAUGCUCUGACAAAAAUGAACUAGAAGCCACAAUAAAGUCGUCAGAUGCUUGAACUUGGACAUCAAAUCCCAUUGAAUGAAGCGACAGAUGCAGACCUGCGACCACUGUGCUGUUUGGGAGCCGUUCAGAUGCCACGAGAGGCGUCGUCAUUGGUAACGCGUUUUAAAACUGGUGAACGACCCUCAUGAAGUCGUGAACAAAACAAAGCACCACCUCAAUUUACACCAUGGUUUCCUUCCUGAAAAACUCGGGAUAUUUUAAAACAGUGGGAAAAAAAUAUUUUUGUGUCUGUGUAAAAUGGAAUUUGGUUCUGGCUCAGGUCAUUUGAAGCAGCUUUUUCAUCUAUGUGAACAUCCAGAGGGGCAUUCAACAUUAGUGCCAGUGCCUGAAGAUCAAGUAGAGUGGUGGGCUGUGGAGGGCGAGCCCAGAAUCAGUCCCUGAGGCGGGUGUCGGUGUCCCGUUUCCAGACGGCGAAAUGAAGCCAGAGAGAGGAAGAAGUUCACCGAGGUCCCACAGCCGGAGAGGGACGAGGGGGGGCUUCAACGGGAUGCUAUUGGGAGGGAGGCCUGAAUCUAACUGCAGUGUGAUUUCCGGCCUUUUGGGUCACACCCCUGGGCAGACUCUGCAGCAGCCCAGCAAACCUUGCAGUCCCCAGCACGAGAAGGGUGGAUUCCAUCUCUGACUUUCCCCUGAAACUGAAGAGGAGGAACACCCUGAUCACCCAGCUGUUAGUAGACUGCCUGGACCCCCGGUCCUGACUUCGUGCGCCAGCCGCUUUGAGUCCGGCUGAUAAAGGCUCACGGGUGUCCCCUCCCCGAAGUACAGCCCUAGGCCAAAGGGGAGCUUCCUUGCCCAGGAGGUUAUAACCCUCAUGCACAUCCUAGCCAGAGAGAGUGACAGAGAGAGAAAAACGCCAGCCCCCUUGCCUCAAGUUGGGAUCAACUCCGGGAUACAGUUCAUGCUCUGGGGCUCUCCAUAUGGGAUCUCUCCCACAUGGGAUCAGGCUGAAAUUACUCUCCUUCCUUGCUUAGCUUUCUUCCCUUACCCUGUUCUGUACCUUCACUCCCUUUUCUUAGGAGCAUCUCCUCAAUAGAUCACGUGCAAAAGGUCUCCGUCAUAGGCUCUGCUUCUAGAGCACUGACCUAAUGUCGGGUCAAGAUGGAAACCAAAAGACCACUUAGGAGACAACGGCAAUAAUCAGGGUAUCCCAUCCAAAUGGCAGAUCGAAAGAUCACUUACUGGGAAGUCAAAGAACAUGGAUUCCAGUCUUGUGUCUACAACGAGCUCUCUGGAUAACGUUGAAUGAGUCCCAUCCCGUCCCCGGGCCUCAGUUUCCUCAUCUGUCACCCACCAGAAGAAACCAUGUGGUUUGUGCUGAGCAUCUGCUUUCCUUCUGCGUGUCUGGAAUCUUGGCUGAGCAGAGGACACCUACAUGACCAGCCCCCAGCAAAUGCCAUGGGCUCUGAGUCUCUAAGGAGCUUCCCUGGUAGACAACACUUCCCACCUGUUGGGUCUCCCUGCGCCCUGCACCCCACAGCUCAAGCUGCGCUUCCACACUACAGCACCUUCUUCUGGGACCUGAACCACGGCCGACGAAGUCAAACAUGAUGGCAGGACGGAACAGAGGCCGAUGAGCUUUUGUGCAAGGGCCAGAUGGUAAGUGUUCUAGGUUCUGCGGGUACCCAGUCUCUGUCACAACUACUCAGCUG